rnacentral:rRNA from 1 species
GAUAAACGCUGACAGAAUGCUUAACACAUGCAAGUCGAUGAUGGGAGCUAGCUUGCUAGAAGAAGUCAUGGCGGACGGGUGAGUAACGUGUAAAGAACUUACCAUAUAGACUGGGAUAACAGAGGGAAACUUCUGAUAAUACUGGAUAAGUUAGUAGUAGCAUUACUAAGUAAUGAAAGGUAGCAAUACGCUAUAUGAGAGCUUUGCAUCCUAUCAGCUAGUUGGUGGGGUAAAAGCCUACCAAGGCGAUGAUAGGUAGCCGGCCUGAGAGGGUGGACAGCCACAAGGGGACUGAGAUACGGCCCUUACUCCUACGGGAGGCAGCAGUGGGGAAUAUUGGACAAUGGAGGCAACUCUGAUCCAGCAAUUCUGUGUGUGUGAAGAAGGUUUUAGGACUGUAAAACACUUUUAGUAGGGAAGAAAGAAAUGACGGUACCUACAGAAGAAGCGACGGCUAAAUACGUG